GAUGAACGCUGGCGGCGUGCCUAAUACAUGCCAGUCGAGCGAACAGACGAGGAGCUUGCUCCUCUGACGUUAGCGGCGGACGGGUGAGUAACACGUGGAUAACCUACCUAUAAGACUGGGAUAACUUCGGGAAACCGGAGCUAAUACCGGAUAAUAUAUUGAACCGCAUGGUUCAAUAGUGAAAGACGGUUUUGCUGUCACUUAUAGAUGGAUCCGCGCCGCAUUAGCUAGUUGGUAAGGUAACGGCUUACCAAGGCAACGAUGCGUAGCCGACCUGAGAGGGGGGGUGGGCCACAGUGGAACGGAGACCGGCCCCAGACUCCUAGGGGGGGAAGCGGGGGGAAUUCUCCAGAAGGGGGCGAAGGCUGGAGGGAGAAGCGCGGGGGGGGUAAGAAGGGUUUAGGAAUCAAAAACCUGUUUUAUGGGGAAAAAAAAAAUGUUAAAGAAAUUAUGCCCGUUUGAAGGAUACCUAACAAGAAGCCCCCGCCAAACUACGCC
rnacentral:rRNA from 1 species